rnacentral:lncRNA from 1 species
AAUCCCAGGAAGGAAGUAUUACUGUGUCCAUGAAUCGGAUGAGGAAACCGAGGCACCGCGAGGAGCAGAAGGAGGCCUGCCUGGUGCGGGGGUGGAGGGGGAAGGGGACCCCGGGGUCCAGGCCUUCUGCUUUGCCCGCCUCCCAGGUACCCAUGAGCGGGCGGACUCCCCGGGGCCCUGCCAGGGCACACCGGGCCACUCCCUCCCGCGGAAGUGGAUCCAUGGCAGGACUGCCUGGCCUCUGGCACCUGUGCCAGCAGGUAAACAGUGGGCGAGGCCCUUCCUUCUAGGAACAGACUGCCUGGAGAUUUCCUUCAAGGAAGCGGGCAAAGCCUGCCUGUCACGGCCACCCCCAGGCUGGACCAAGGACUCUGUCACGGAGCCACCCUGUGCCGGGACCAAACCGGCGGAGACUGACCACCCUGGCUUUUCGAGGGACCCAUCCCUUGAUCAGGAGGACGAAGCCCAGGAGGACACCUGCGUGGCUCUUGGUCGAGCGCUUCCUUCUAUCCAACUGGACUCUAAGAGCCAGAGAAGGACCCGUCCCCGCUCACGUGCACGGCAGCAGCGCACGAGCCCGGGCCCGCCAGCCGCCCAUCCUCGCGGCGGUGGAUUAUCCAACCUCGUGAGGGAAUGAGAUUCGGAUACAGGGCAACAGGACGAACCUGGACAACCUCGUGCAGGACAGCCAGUCACAGCAAGUCACGUGUUGCCUGACUCCACCUCCGGGAGGGAUGGGCAGACCCUCAGAGAUGAGGGGGGGGAGGGGGGCGGGGGAGCAAGGCGCCGGGUCCAGGGUUCCCUUCCCUCUGGGGGAUAAAAACAUCCCCGGACUAGACAGAGGUGGUGGCUGCACGACACUGCAAAGAGACCUCCAGGCCCUGAACUGAUCACGUUAAAAUGAUUAUUUUUAGGAGAUCCUGCUGGUGCAGUGGGAUGGGUGGUAUCUUGUGAGCCACUGGGAUGCGGGUUUGAUCCCUGGUCUGGCACAGUGGGUUAGGGAUCUGGCAUUGAGGUGAGCUGUGGUGUAGGUCGCAGCUGUGGCUCAGAUCCCGUGUGGCUGUGGCUGUGGUGUAGGCCGGCAGCUACAGCUCCGAUGAGACCCCAGCCUGGGAACCUCCAUGUGCCACGGGUACGGCCCUAAAAAAACAAAAUAAAUAAAUAGUAACAGUAAGGAAAAGAAAAUCU